GAAUGGCAGCUGCAGCAGUGCUGGAGAUGGGUGGGCAGCCAGGCAGGCCAGCUCUAGGACCCCGGCAGGGUCCUCUCCUAACUGCUGAUGUUCCACUCUUAAGUCCGUUUCUGGCUUCUGGGGUGUCUGUCCAGGGAGGCAGUGACCCAGCGACUGGCCUCUGCCUCACCCCCUACACCAGUCAGUGUUUCCACCGGGAUGCCUGGACAUCCAUGGAGGUGUGUGGCCAGAGCUCGUGAGGGCUGAGGGUGCCCACUGCAGCCUCAGAAGGGACAAGACACCUGUCGGCCUGCACCAGCCCCUCCCCAGCCUGGCCUGGUGACUUGGGUCACCCCUCUCUGACCUGUCUGGAGUGGACUCUGCUCCAUCUGGGCUGCUGGGAGGCUCCUGGGAGUGACUCCCUCUCCCCUCCAGAACUUCCCACUCCUGGGGCCGAAAGGUCCCAGCAAGCUCUCAAACUUCCAUCACUCGAAUUGAUUUGUGUUCCUGGGUUGAGAUUUAGGUUCUAGCCACCCUCGACUCCAGAGAAAGUAUAGUAAUAGUCAGAAAUCAGAAAGACCUGUGCAUGUGAGUCUGAAUGUAGCUUAUUAGCUGUGUGACCUUGGCCAAGUCGCUGAGCCACCCUGAGCCUCGGUAUCCGCCUCGGUCUCCUCCUCAGCUUCCUCCCUCUUCUGGGGGAUGUUCACAGCGCCUCCCUCACCAGCUUGUGCAGUGCUUUGCUCAUGGAGAGCUCGGGAGUCAGAGGCCAGAGGAGCGAGGAGCUGGAGGAGCUGGCUGGGGAAGUGGGCCUGGGAGCCUGGGAGCGGCACAGGGUGAGGAGGUCAUGGGUCUCACCGCUCCCCAGCCUCCCUCUUCCUCCUCACUGCUGACUUUCUCCCCAAAGCCAGGCACUUCCACCCCAGCACUGAGGAGGUUCCCGAAGGAGUCACUCCUGGGGGUCUCCCAGCAUCCUGGAUAGGGCAGUUUACUCCAGGGAGGACAGAGAGGGGUGUCCCAAACCACCAGGCCAGGCUGGGGCAGGGCUGGUACAGGGCAUGACACAUCAUGAGAGUCAGCCUUAUUCCAUCUGAAGCUGUGGGGGGUGCCCUCAGCCCUCCCGAGCUCUGGCCAUGCACGUCCUGACUCUGUUUCCCCCUCUAGUGACCCCUAGUUCCAGGGCUGUGAGCCACAGCUCCCUGUCCCCAGUAUCAGAAGCCCCCCAGGGAAAGCCAUUAAAUCUGGGAUUCCCAGAAUUCUUUGCUCCUUGCCAGCCCCUAGCAAGUAAGGAGCUCCUUGCUGGGCUGCAGUUGGCCCCCAGAGGCAAGGGCCACCACCCUCUAAUAAUCCAAGGGGAGGAUCUUGGGGAGAGCGUCAGCUGCUGAGGGCCAGCAUUCCUGGGUCCCGCACACUUCACCGGCUCUGCUCCCUCCUAGCUGCCCUCCUCGGCUCCUCUUUAGAGAAGCACCAGGAUCUGGGGUGGCUGCUCCUGCAUCCUUCCCUCCCCCAGAAUCCUAGGCCAGCCUGAGCCGGCUUGUUCUACCCCAACUUUACUGGCCCAGGCUUGUUCCUGUUUGUGUCAGGGAGACAGAACUGGAUCUGGGAAGCCCCAUCCUGGAGGAGGCAGGGACACAGCAGGGGAGACAUGGUGAUCGGGAAGUGCUGUUAGGGGCAUGGGAUGGGUCCAGGCUGACCACAGUGACACCUGUACCCCUAUCUCAAAGCUGCACCCCUGUGCCAGGCCUAGGAACUCCUGCUACCUUUUGGGUGAAGGGGAACGUCCCUUACCCCUUGCCCCUGGCUGAGAGGACCAGCAAACCAGCUCUGCUCAGCACUGGGGUGCCGGGGCCAGCCUGCCGGGAGGUCUAGGAAAGUGCCUGGUUCUUCGCCUGUGGCUGGACUCAGGACCUUGGCAGGAAGGUUUUAGGGUAGAAGAGAGUCCCCCGCUUUCUUCCAAGCCCAGAGCCAGCCAAAUGGACAUCUCUUCCCCAAUGUGGCCUUUUCUUCCCAGGGGCUCCCGUCCCCUCCCACUCUAUGUUGUCCCUGGACCCACUCAUGCAUCCAUCCAGACAGGAGUGUACACCCUCAUGGCCCACGUUUGCACACAUGCACACACACAGUGGCAAUCCACACAUACCCAGCCCCUCCUUGCUCUCCCAUGACCUUGUUAGGGGGACCUAGGCCUUCCCCCACUCCCUGGCCACCUUCCCUAUAGUAUAGGCAGCAGGGGGAGUAGGCCGCUUGGCUGUCCUGAGCCGCGCUGCUCCUCUACUACCCAGCGAUUACCUUUGUCCAGUGUGGGAGCUGCCCAAGGCCUGGUUUCAGGCUGUGGGAGAGCAGAGAGGGGCUAGAAGAGCGCUGCCUGGGACAGCUGCAGGAAGAGGCCAGGCCAAGUUCACAUUUGGGAGCCAGGACUCCGGACCUGUCCCUUGCCCUCCUCUGCCUCCUGCCUGGCUCUUUCCAGAAGGAAUCAGUAAGGUGCCCUGAGACUUCGGGGUAGUGGGGGGAACCCCAGGGGUUCUCUAGGGAGAGGAUGUGGGUUUGUCUGUGGGGGUGGUUGCCGGGGAGGAGAUACAGCCCUUGUGGUACAUUUUCUUUUGCUGAAUGGAGAGGUUUGGGCUGGGGAAGCUGCUUAUUUCUCAGAACCUCUAGGAGCCCUGUCUCCCAGUCCCCCAGGCAGGGUUAGGGGCUGUCAGCUGUGCCUCUUAAGGCCAGGUGCUUCCUCAAGGCUCUGCCCAAAGGACUAGCUAUGGAGUCUGUGCUGGGCCCCACAGGCCUCUCUUUUGUGGGGAUUCUUGGGCAGGUUCUGAUACCCCCUGCCUGUCCCUAGACCUGUGUCCUGUGCGUCUCUUCUUAGAUUCCAAAUUAGGGCACGUCCACCCCACCUGUCCCCUUUUUGGUUGCUGGUCAAGGCUACCAGAAAGAACAAAGUGAGGUGUCCCCAGGUGAGGUGGGAUAAGAGUGGGAUGAGAAGGCACGAUGUUUCCUCCACCUCUUGCCCAGACUGGGACCUGGGACCUCUUCCCUUUCACAUCAGUUUCCCUGGUUGCAACAUUCCCCUACCCCACCCCCGCCUUUCAACAGAGCACAUGUGCGCAGGCGCACACACAACCUGGAAAAUCUCCUGAGUCUGCAGUGCUGAGUUUCCAGGCCCCAUCUAGGGGCCGGGUGGGCGGCUCUGAGGUUUGGGGCUGGGUGGAGCAGGGGAGGGGCAAGCAGCCCCUGGCUGUGGCCUGAGCAGGGAUCCGGGCUGAGCUGGUCUUUGAGGCUGGCUUGUCCUCCCUCUGGGGCAGGCCCAGGAGAAUCCAGCUCCCACCGAGGCUGCCUUGGUGUUCAGACUUCUAUACCUGUCUGUUUUCCACACAUCCCCCCAUCCGCCCUGCCACUUCCUGAGUUUGUUCGAGUCCUGGGCUUCACUCCCAGGGCCCAAAGCCUUUUCUACUAUUCUCCUUUCUCAUCCUCAGCUGUCUGUGGGUGGGAGCACCUGGGUGAGCAGCUCAAGGUGACUUGCGGGCUCUAGUCAGGGGUAAAGCAGUUCAAGUUCAAUAUCUUUGAGGCCAGGCUUGCCUGGGUUUCUGCAGUGCCCAAAGCCAGGUGGGGGUUGGGAGGGGGCUGGGGAACCAGGGUGGACAUUGCUGAUCCAGGAGAUGAAGUGGGGGAAGGCAAGCAGAAGUCCUAGGUACUUGAAUUGCUCCUCAGAGGAUUCCCAGCGGACAGGACCCCAAUUUGGGAGGUUUGGAGUAGGGUCCGCCAUCUCUGCUCUAUGGAGUAUGAAGCCCCCAGGUUCAAGUCCAGCUUUUCUGCUCACACACGUAGGCUCUUCCCCUCCCUGGUUAUCAGCUUCCUCAUCUGGCAGUGGUGAGGUGGGACUGGAGGAGGCCCAAGGGCCAGGUAGGCUCUAGUUCUACAAUCGCUGUGACUCAGGGGCCUAAGGAUGUGCUUCUGUCCCUAAGAGCAUGGUGCCAUGUGGACAUAUAAAAGGAGACACAUACUUAGCUGGCCAUCCACCCAGGACACAGGAAUACGCAUCCACAUGGGGUCACCAGGACCAUACACACCGCCACGGAAACACUGUCUACCUCGCACCCGAUGACAGCAGACGCUGCGCCUUCCUCCAGGGCCAGAGAUGGGAGAGCCAGCUGUAAAUGUGUCCAUUUGCAAAGCCACCUCUCCUCUUGGUCUUUCCCAAGAGCACAGGACACUUUCCUCCCUGGAGAGCUGAUGGCUGGGAGUGGGGUAGAGGUAGGGAGGCAUCAGGAAAAGGUGGGUCUGUCUGCAGCAUGAGAGUCACAGUCCCCUUCCGCCUUCUGAGCCAGUGUCCACCUUUCUCCCUUCAAGAGUCUUGCCAAGGCUGGAGAGAUGGGGGCUCAGGCUCUGGGACUGAGAGGCAGGCCCUUGUUUUUGCUGCCUGCUGCCUGCUUCUGCUUGAAACUCUGCCCUUCCCACCCAUGCCUGCCUGCCUGCUUGCCUGCCAGCCAACGGGGCAAAGAGGGCCAGGGGCACUGGCUCCCCACCUUGCUGCUUCCUGACUUUACUCUGCAGAUAUUGGAAUGAGGCCCCCAAUCCCGUUCGCUGCCCUGCUCUGGCUCUGGGGAUUUGGGGCAGAGAUAAGGUGGGCAUGGGGGGCAGGCCAUCAGGUGGAGUCCCCGCUCUCCAGGGCACAUCUAGGCCUUCCACCACUCCACAGGCCUAGAUUAGCACUCUCUGCAUUAGCAGGGAGAGGCCGCUCCCUUUCCACCAGGGCCAGCAUGCGGCACAGCAAGUGAGGACAGGUGAGGACAGAUUGCUCAGCCUGCCUGGAGAACAGAUGUGCAGUGGGCAUGCCUCCGGGAGAUGCCCCUUGGCAUCUCUGAGUGGGGCUGUCAGACAUGGCAGCAGAGCCUUCUCUUGGACCCUGGCCCUGCCCUCCCACUCCAGUAGCCUACCCAGAGGCCCCUGUCCAUUUCCCUGGGUCUCUGCCCACUUUCUUCCCGUAGGAAGAAGCAUGCCCUUCCCUGGAAGGGAGUUCAGGCAGGAGAGUGGAGCCCCCUCAGCUGUCCAUGGACUGCAGCUCCACAGCCUCGGGAGCCCAUCCAGCCUGGAGGCCUCAUGGGGUGAUGUCCCUGGGGAGCAGGAUGGCCACCACCUUCUCCUCUCCCACCUACAAUCCCAGACAUUGGCACAUAGUAUCUCCCUGUCCCUGACACCCUGUCCUGCAAUUUUGGCAAUCUCUUGCCAGGUAGUGAGUAUAUUUUGGAAGUGACCACCUGGGCUGGCAACCUCCAAGCAAAAACCAGCCUCCACCAGUAAACAGGUAAGGUGGGCACUUGGGCAAGGCCUAGGGUGGCAGCCAAUCUGGGAGUGAUGGAGAGUCCAGAGCCUCAUAGGCAGCGGUGUUCCAAUGUGCCUGGGUUUCUGUGCUCCUGGUGCCAGUGUCUAUGCCAGCAUCCUGCUCCCAGGGCCUUUCUAGAGCCUGACUUUGUUCUCUCCAUCCGUCCUCUAGCCCCUGUGUCUCCAGAUCACCUGGUACUGCAUACCCUGGGCACCAGUGCCUGGCAAGCCUCCUGGAAUGGCUCUGAGAGGGCUGCUGGGCUCCACUUGGUGCUCACAGACCUCCUAGAUGGCACCACCCUGACUGCAAUAGUCAGAUGAGGAGUCUCAUGUCACACCUUCCUUCACCUGUCUCCGGGCACCCUUCCAUGAGCUGAUGCUCAGUGCUGCUGCUGGGCCCCAUCGGACAGCGGGGCCCAAUGCCACAGAGUGGACCUGUGAGUGCCUGGGAGUAAAGGAGACACAGCUGAGACUUCCCAGCUCUUGUUCGCGGGUCAAGUAGCCAGGAUACAACUGGCAGGGGAGAGGGUGUUUUGGAGGCUCAGAGGGAGUGCUCCUCAGUUGGCUGGUGGUGGACACCUAUUAAGGAGAUGAUGGUGGUGAUAGUUAUCAGUUGAACCCUUCUGUGUGCUGGACUCUGUGCUAAGCACUUUCUGUGUAUUGUUUCCUUGAAUCCUCAGAGCAGCCCUAUGGAAAUCAUAUUCUCCCCAUCUUACGGUAGAGGGAGCUGAAGUUCGGAGAGAGGAAGAGCCGACCUGAACUUGGGUUGAAAGCCCAUGUUGGCUUCCUCACAGCUUCACUGAGUUUUUACUUAGAGAAGCCCCGUUGUGCCGUGGUUAAGGGCAGACAAAGCAGCCUGCCUGCGUUCUGAGUCUUGUUUCUGCCACCCACUAGCUGUGUGUCUCUGGACACGUUGUUUACCUUCUCUCUGUGUUAGUUUCCACAUGUAGUACUCAGAACCACGCUGGCAGGUGCACGUUUGAUCACUUGAUGUGUUUAUUUCUGUUAUUGUCCACAGUCAGAUGGUAGCAGCCAGAUCCCAGUGUUCAUCCAGAAUGUGGUGGCAAGUGGUGGCUGCUCACAUUGGGACAAGGCAUGGCCAGUGCAUAGAGAAGCCGCACAGAACCAGUGGGCUUCCUCCCCUCUGCUAUUUAGGUCUUCCUGCACACAUUUCUUUUCUCCACAGAUCCCUCUGCCCCCUUCCACCUGGUAUUGACUCCCCUGCCUGCCAAGCUCUGGGCAAGCUGGAAGGUAGGGCCAGGUGCCUGGGAUGGCUUCCUCUGAGGUUAAGUGGGCCAGUCGAGAAGAACAUCACUCUGGGCCCUGAGGCCCUCAGGCCCUCAGUGCCACAUUCCCAGGGCCUCUGGCCACACCUGUACCUAUGAGUUCCUGGCUGCAGCCUAUGGGAGGCCAGCCCAGGGCCGUGGUCUGGGGGACUGGCACCCUCUACUCUGCACUUCUGUGCUCCAUAUUCUUCUUUUUUUUUUUUUUAAUUUGAGACAGAAUCUCACUGUGUCACCCAGGCUGGAGUGCAGUGGCAGGAUCUUGGCUCACUGUGACCUUCGACUCCUGGGUUCAAGUGAUUCUGCUGCCUCAGCCUCCUGAGUAGCUAGACUUACAGGCACCUACCACCUUGCCUGGCUAAUAUUUUUUUUCAGUAGAGACAGGGUUUCACCAUGUUGGCCAGGCUGGUCUGGAACUCCUGACCUCAAACAAUCUGCUCACCUCGGCCUCUCAAAGUGCUGGGAUUACAGGCGUGAGUCACUGUGGCUGGCCUGUGUGCCAUAUUCUUGACUCAGAAGGCCAUGAGUAUAAGAUGAGGCCUUUCAUGAAUCUAUUUGCAAGCAAUUUCUACCUCCUUCCAUCUGGUUGGUUAUCUACCCACUGUCUAUCCACUAUCCAUCUAUCCAUCCAUCUAUCCAUCCAUCCAUUCCACAAAUAUUCAAUGAAUGACUCCCAUUUUCUUGGUAUGAAACCAGUUACUGAGGCCAAAAAUGAUGAAUAGUCUAGGAAGACAAACAAGAUGGCAUAUAUAUAGCAUAUGAUUUUAUAUAUCAUAUCUGUUAAUGCACUAAUUGGAAUGUACAUAAUGCAUUAGUUUGAACCAUAUGAAAUUCCUAUAGGUGGCUCACACCUGUAAUCCCAGCACUUCGGGAGGCCGAGUUGGGCAGCUCACAAGGUCAGGAGUUUGAGACCAGCCUGGCCAACAUGGUGAAACGCUGUCUCUACUAAAAAUACAAAAAUUAGCUGGGUGUAGUGGCAGGCACCUGUAGUCCCAGCUACUCAGGAGGCUGAGGCAGGAGAAUUGCCUGAACCCAGGAGGCAGAGGUUGCGGCGAGUUGAGAUUACGCCAUUGCACUCCAGCCUGGGUGACAAGAGCGAAACUCCAUCUCAA